AUACUUACCUGGCAGGGGGGACACCAUGAUCCGCCAGGUGGUUUUCCCAGGGCGACGCUCUCCAAUUGUACUGCGGAAGUGCUGAUUCCUGCAAUUUCCCCACAUACGGGAAACUCAACUGCAGAAUUUGUAGUAGUAGAGUACUGCAUUCGCGCUCAGCCCUG
ensembl:snRNA U1 U1 spliceosomal RNA